GUGUGAAAUGAUGGUAUCAUCUUUCGGGACUGACAUGUCAUGGAGAUGUCUUUCUUUUUUGCUGAUCACGC